UGUGUACACAGUUUAUUUGUUCAUAAACUGCUGACCCUGCACAACACACACUUCGUGAUCGAUUUGACUUUCAAUAUGAGGUACUGCAUGUUUAAUUGAAUAGGCUAAACUGCGCUGGGUUGGCGUAUCUCGCUGGGUUCAUUUCUUGGGAUGUUGUUAUUGUUGUUUUGUGCGUAUUUGCCGGGCGUCAGUAAUGAAGUUGUGCUGCUGGGCUAUGCUGCCAUGAAGUUGAAGUUGCUAAAUCAUGGUGAUGUAGAAAUCGCGUAGCGCGCAUAUAAUGCAUCUACUGUGAUAUGAAUGGCUCACGUCAAUGCGAAGCACGCAGCGUUUAGGCGCACACAGCACAGGAGCCAGCUUCAAACGAGGUAUUGUUCAUCUGAAUGUGUCAAAAUCGUUGUUUUUGCCCCCAGUGUAUCCAGAAAUAUCACUCGUUUUAUUCCAUAGGUGCGAUGUCAUUUAAGUGAAGUGGCAAGUUUUGUUUUUGUGCGGACAUAAGGCCUACGCGGUUGCGUUAUCAAAGGACAACUGCGUCGGCAGUUUGACAGCCUGAUUUCCAUACUGACAGUCGGUGAGCCGAAUGUCGUAGCCACAUUGUUUUCUGUGUCCUUAACCGCGGAAAGAACACUAUAUGGAAACUAAUAUUUUGGAAUAAAUCCCUGUAGCCUAAAAUAUAAUACAGCAGGGGAGACAAACAGAAGCCACCAGGCCAUCCCUGUGGUCAUCUAUCUUGGACAUAAUGGAUUUGGAGGACAACAAGUGAAGAAUGACCAACCAAUGAUUCAUCCCGGGAUCCCAGAACUGGAAGCCCAACACCAAAGGACCAGGCCUCCACUCUCAUGGACUAAAUCAGGAAUAUCUGCUCUAAAGAUGGAAUCACUGGACUAAACUAGAACUCCAUGGGCUAAAUAGGAAUAGUUCUUAAACCGGGAAUAUCAGGACCAAAAGCUGAAAUAUCAUGGACUCAUUUAGGCAUUUCUGGACUAAAAUUGGAAUCUUUGGACUGAAUAUGGAAUUGCUGGACUGUAAUAACAGAUACUGUGUGGGAAAACCCACACUCCUGAACGUUUAGUAAUAUUGCUAAGUAUCACUCAUUGAGUGAUUAUGCACUGUCACAAUCAUUCAAAGAGGAUUAAUCAGGUGCAGAAUUUGACUUGGGGGAUUCAGGGAAAAUCAAUGCUUAGUCCAUUGAUUGGUUAAUCAGUCCCUAAGACAGACAAACGUCUUAUUCAGAACAAUUGAACCUGCUCUCCUUGAAGUUCUUGAUGAUCCGAUAAAUGGUUGAUUUAGGUGCAAUCUUACUAGCAGCAAUAUCCUUGCCUGUGAAGCCCUUUUUGUGCAAAGCAAUUUUGACGGCACGUGUUUCCUUGCAGGUAACCAUGGUUGACAGAGGAAGAACAAGGAUUCCAAGCACCACCCUCCUUUUGAAGCUUCCAGUCUGUUAUUCAAACUCAAUCAGCAUGACAGAGUGAUCUCCAGGGCUUGUCCUCGUCAACACUCACACCUGUGUUAACAAGAGAAUCACUGACAUGAUGUCAGCUGGACCUUUUGUGGCAGGGCUGAAAUGCAGUGGAAUUUUGUUUUUGCGAUUCAGUUCAUUUGCAUGGCAAAGAGGGACUUUGCAAUUCAUCUGAUCACUCUUCAUACCAUUCUGGAGUAUAUGCAAAUUGCCAUCAUACAAAUUGAGGCAGCAGACUAAUAAUAAUAAUAAUAAUAAUAAUAAGAAUAAUAAUUUUCAAUCUCAAAACUUUUGGCCACGACUGUAUAUACACCCUUCAUCAGUUCCAGAGUGAAAGCAUUAGAAAUGUGCUUAUGCUUAUCGUCAGGCUUGAAGUCGUAAUUAUACAGGAUUCUCUGACCUUUCUUGGGACACUAAAGAGGCCUUUCUACUGACUCUGAAAGAAAGAUGCCCAGGGUCCCUGCUCAUCUGCGUGAACGGCCUUAGGCAUGCUGCAAGGAGGAAUGAGGUCUGCAGAUGUGGACAGGGAAAUAAAUUGCAAUGUCCGUACUGGGAGACACCUAAGACAGCGCUCCAGGGAGACGGGACGGACAGCUGAUCGUCCUCGCAGUGGCAGACCACAUGAAACAACACCUGCACAGGAUCGGUACAUCCGAACAUCACACCUGCGGGACAGGUACAGGAUGGCAACAACAUCCGCCAGAGUUAGACCAGGAACGCACAAUCCCUCCAUCAGUGCUCAGACUGUCCGCAAUAUAGGCUGUGAAACUGACAAUUAACAUGUAACCAAAGAGGAGGAGUUCUUCAGUCUGUCUCACUUUCAGCUGUUUGAGCUCAUCAGCCAGGACAGCCUCAAGGUGCUCUGUGAGUCAGAGAUAACCGCCUGCCAAAGUGUGACCAUGAGCUCCUUGAUGUCAGGUGUACAAGGCUUGUACAGACUGGGUGCGAUGGGACGUGGAGAGCAGAGCUCCGUGUCUCCACGCCCUCCUCGAUGCUCUCCACGUCUACGCUCUGCCUCCCAAGUUCAUCAAGAUACAGCUCCAGUCCUGCCCCAUCCUCAG